rnacentral:rRNA from 1 species
CAGUAGCGUAUAUUAAUGUUGUUGCAAUUAAAAAGCUCGUAGUUGAAUUUCUGCCGUAAAUUGCUGUCAGCUGCUAAUUGGUAUGCAGGCAUUCAAUUGCGUCAUCCAUCUACCAGGCCUUCAGGCAUUAAUUUGUCUAGGGAACCACCUGUGUAGAUCUUUUACUGUGAAAAAAUUGGAGUGUUUAAAACAGUUUUCGACAUUUGAACAUAUUAGCAUGGGAUAAUGACAUAAGGCUUGAUUGUGUUGUUGGUCUCAAUUAAAGCAAUGAUUGAUAGGGAUAGUUGGGGGUGCUCGUACUAUGUGGCUAGAGGUGAAAUUCGUACCCACAUAUGACGAACUUAUGCGAAAGCAUUCACCAAGGAUAUCUCCUUUAA